AUUGAACACUGGCGGCAUGCCUUACACAUGCAAGUCGAACGGCAGCACGGGAGCAAUCCUGGUGGCGAGUGGCGAACGGGUGAGUAAUAUAUCGGAACGUGCCCAGUAGUGGGGGAUAACUGCUCGAAAGAGCAGCUAAUACCGCAUACGACCUGAGGGUGAAAGGGGGGGAUCGCAAGACCUCUCGCUAUUGGAGCGGCCGCUAUCAGAUUAGCUAGUUGGUGGGGUAAAGGCCUACCAAGGCAACGAUCUGUAGUUGGUCUGAGAGGACGACCAGCCACACUGGGACUGAGACACGGCCCAGACUCCUACGGGAGGCAGAAGUGGGGAAUUUUGGACAAUGGGCGCAAGCCUGAUCCAGCAAUGCCGCGUGCAGGAAGAAGGCCUUCGGGUUGUAAACUGCUUUUGUCAGGGAAGAAAUCCUCUAGGUUAAUGCCCUUGGGGGGAUGACGGUACCUGAAGAAUAAGCACCGGCUAACUACGUGCCAGCCGCCGCCGUAAUAC
rnacentral:rRNA from 1 species